rnacentral:lncRNA from 1 species
GUCAUAGUCGAGGCUGUUGAGUUACGAGUGUUUUGAAUCGAAUCGGAUUUAUGAUUAUAUUAUAUGUGAAUAUUUGAAAAUAUUAGAUUUGCAUUAAAUUAGCAUGAAAUAUAUUUUUAUAUUUAAUUUUAAUAUUAUUCUUGGAAAUUUGAUAAUAUCUGAAUUAUCUAGUUGAGAUAUUUGUUACUUACUGGGCUGUCUAGCUCAUUACCUUUCUUUCUAUUUUUCAGAUUUAGAUAAUUAAUUUCGAGCGUGGGAAGAAAUAUUGGGAC